CCAACAUGCAGCCUCGACUGUCAGAAAGGAGGCACACAUAAUCAAAUCCAUGUACAUUAAAAAGAGGUACACAAAGAUGAAUGAGUUGCGAAAAAAGCAACUACACAAAUUCAAUGAGAGAAAGGGAGGAGUCCUGACUCAUACUGUAUACUAUUAUCCUUUUCCUUAUCUACACCGAGUAUUUUAUAUAAAGACAUAUGCUCUAUCAUUCAAUUGCACAAAAGGGCACUUGGCCACUUCUACUCUCAAAUCUGCUCUGGAGAUUGUGGUAAAACAUUCUACAUACCUCCCUGAAGAAAUUCUCAAAGCGAAGUACAUUUUAGAGAACAAAGUGGACUUAACAAUUUUAAGAACUUUCUCGGAACUCGGCACAAUAGGGUAAUUACAACUUUACAGCCGCAUUUUCCGUGCUCCACCAGGACUGUCCCCGCGCCCCAGCCCACAUCCCUUCUUUAAAGAGAGUCAGACUGAGAGAGACGGUUCGGCCAGCUAUCCCGAUUCUCUAUGUCUGGGCCGUGAAUCGCCGAGCAAGGCUGAACCCCCGCAAAAUUACAGAAGAAUCUAAAGCGCAAACGAGGGAAAAGAACAAAAAAGCAAAGGGGGGGAAGUUGGGUCGAGACCCACCCCCACUCUCUCGACCCCACCCAAGCCUACCUCUCCUACGCUGGACCAUAAAACAAAACCGAAAACGUAACAAAAAUAAAAACUAAAAAUAGAACACCACGAGAAAACAAGUAGGGCUUCCUUACUGUCUCCACUCCUUCUGGCCCAGUUCUCUACUCAACCUCCCGGCCCACCCCACCCCCCAGGGGUCCCGGCGCCAUUUAGCUCCUCCGAAGCCGCCGCCAUUUUCCGCCCCCGCCGGAUCGCCGCUGUGCCUCGGCAGCCGCUCGCUUCCCUACUCUGCAGCCUGAGCCACGGGCACCGCCCGGCCCUAAGAGGGAGGCCCUGGCCGGAACGUGCGGGGACGGCAGCUGCAACGUCAGGAAGGCCAGGCUCCGACCCCGCCCGCAGUGCCCCGGCGCCGACAGCUUGCGCCAGCCGGCGGGAGCUAGCGGGCAGCAAGGGGGCCGGACAGGCUCCACUGGGCGGAGCGGCCCUGGCGGCGGUUGGAACCUGAAGGUUCCAUCGCACUUACUUCCUGUUUUGGGUCCGGGCACUUUGGAAGAACCAGGAUGGAAGCUCCAAAAAAUACCAGGAUGGAGGAAGCAGCCACGGGCGAGAGUGGCUGCAGCUGGAGUGAGCGAGCGCGACGAGCCACCGGAAACGGAGCUGCGGCCGCGCCCCGCCCCCAGCUCCCCGCACGCUGCCCCUCCCGCUCGUCUGUCCCGCUGGCGGCCCAGCGUGCUGGCUGUACGCGUCACUUCCGGCUGUGUCGGCGCGCGAAAAAAGGAACCAAAGAGAAGUGAAGGAAUGUGUCCAAGGGCUCCCAAGUUGGCGGUGGAAUUAGAAUUGAAGCCUCAGCUCCAAAGCCUGUGUUCUGAACUACCCGGUUGCAGUUCACAAAAUACACUUUGGCAGUACUUUCAUAACGAAAACAAAUGAUUACAACCAGUUUACAAAUGCUUUGCUUUACUGGAGGAUCGACAUGUUUGACUAAUUUUCAAAAAUAAAUCUCAGAAGCAGCAU
rnacentral:lncRNA from 1 species